CUAAGAAUAUUCCGCAAUGGACGAAAGUCUGAGGGAGCGACGCCGCGUGAGGGAUGAAGGCCCUUUGGGUUGUAAACCUCUGUUAGGGGGAAAGAACAGCAGUGGAAGCAACAUGUCCAUUGCCUGACGUUACCCCCAGAGAAAGCUCCGGCCAACUCCGUGCCAGCAGCCGCGGUAAUACGGGGGGAGCAAGCGUUGUCCGGAAUCAUUGGGCGUAAAGGGCGUGUAGGCGGUUAGGCAAGUCGAAUGUGAAAUCCCACGGCUCAACCGUGGAACUGCGUUCGAAACUGCCCUACUUGAGUGCGGGAGAGGUGUGCGGAAUUCCUGGUGUAGCGGUGGAAUGCGUAGAUAUCAGGAAGAACACCGGUGGCGAAGGCGGCACACUGGCCCAGCACUGACGCUGAGGCGCGAAAGCGUGGGGAGCGAACG
rnacentral:rRNA from 1 species